UACGUAGGGGCGUAGCGUUGUCCGGAAUCAUUGGGCGUAAAGAGCGUGUAGGCGGCCCGGUAAGUCCGCUGUAAAAGUCAAAGGCUCAACCUUUGAAUGUCAGUGGAUACUGCCGGGCUAGAGUCCGGAAGAGGCGAGUGGAACUCCUGGUGUAGCGGUGGAAUGCGCAGAUAUCAGGAAGAACACCAACGGCGAAGGCAGCUCGCUGGGACGGUACUGACGCUGAGACGCGAAAGCGUGGGGAGCGAACAGG
rnacentral:rRNA from 1 species